AGGCAUGGUGCUGAUAGUGAUGCUGAGUCGUUAAAACCUUAUUAACAAGACCAUUUCAGAACUUGAAUCCGAACUAAGCCGUCUUGGAAGGCCUGUUGCAAAUGAUGCUGGGGUUUUGCCAGAAUCCAUUGGAGCAGCGAAGCCAUAUUUGCGGCAAUUCAUUGAUGUAUAGGCAUUUUUGUAGGUUUGGUAGGAAAAUUUCUGGUUUAAAUGUAGUUAUUUAAAUAGCUUGUUCGUAACAAACCAUAUAUGUACCAACACUUAAAACGAUACUAUAAAAUGUAUGUUUCUUUAUAUUAAA